CCUACGGGAGGCAGCAGUAGGGAAUAUUGCUCAAUGGGGGAAACCCUGAAGCAGCAACGCCGCGUGGAGGAUGAAGGUUUUCGGAUUGUAAACUCCUUUUGUUAGGGAAGAUAAUGACGGUAUCUAACGAAUAAGCACCGGCUAACUCCGUGCCAGCAGCCGCGGUAAUACGGAGGGUGCAAGCGUUAAUCGGAAUUACUGGGCGUAAAGGGCGCGUAGGCGGGAUAGCAAGUCAGAGGUGAAAUCCUAUGGCUUAACCAUAGAACUGCAUUUGAAACUGGUAUUCUAGAGUAUGGGAGAGGUAAGUGGAAUUCUUGGUGUAGGGGUAAAAUCCGUAGAGAUCAAGAGGAAUACUCAUUGCGAAGGCGACCUGCUAGAACAUAACUGACGCUGAUGCGCGAAAGCGUGGGGAGCAAACAGGAUUAGAUACCCCUGUAGUC
rnacentral:rRNA from 1 species